rnacentral:rRNA from 1 species
UAGUAACGGCGAGUGAAGAGGGAAGAGCCCAAGAUUGAAAGCUGGCGUCUUCGGCGUCCGCAUUGUAAUCUCAAGAAGUGUUUUCCGCUUCGGACCAAGCCUAAGUCCCUUGGAAAAGGGCAUCAUAGAGGGUGAUAAUCCCGUACAUGGCUUGGAGCGCCCGAAGCUUUGUGAUACGCUUUCUAAGAGUCGAGUUGUUUGGGAAUGCAGCUCAAAAUGGGUGGUAAAUGCCAUCUAAGGCUAAAUAUUGGGGAGAGACCGAUAGCGAACAAGUACAGUGAUGGAAAGAUGAAAAGAACUUUGAAAAGAGAGUUAAACAGUACGUGAAAUUGCCAAAAGGGAAGGGUAGGAGGUCAGAGAUGCGGCCUGGGAUUCAGCCUUGCUUUUGCUUGGUGUUUUUCCCAGAUUGCAGGCCAACGUCGGUUUUGGGCACUGGAGAAGGGUAGGAGGAACGUGGCACCUCUCGGGGUGUGUUAUAGCCUCCUACUGGAUACAGCGACCGAGACCGAGGACAGCAGCGUACUCGCAAGAGCGGGCCUUCGGGCACCUUUACGCUUAGGGCGUUGGCAUAAUGGCCCUCUACCACCCGUCUUGAAACACGGACCAAGGAGUCUAACAUGUAUGCGAGUCUUUGGGUGGCAAACCCAUAGGCGCAAUGAAAGUGAAUUCAGGUGGGAUCCGCAAGGUGCACCAUCGACCGAUCCUCACGUCUUUUAAGUCGUGGAUUUGAGUAAGAGCAUACCCUGUUGGGGACCCGAUAGGAGGGUGAACCUAUGCCCUGAAAUAGGGUGGAAGCCCAGAAGGAAACUCCUGGUGGGAGGCUCCGUAGCGGGUUCCUGACGGGG